rnacentral:lncRNA from 1 species
CUGUGAUGCGUAUUUGGUAGUUGGACCUGGGCCAAACGCCAUUGGAAUUUGGCAGGGCCUGCGGGUGUCGUUCGAUUUGGGGUUCAUUGGCCCAAGAUUAAAUUAGCUCCUGACUCAUUAGUGUUUUUGAAUGACAAGCUCGGGAUUUGAGUUAGGUUGCGGGUCCAACCUAAAAGGUCCUUCCUUUUGUUUGGGCCCGGACUUGAACUUGAAACCCGAGUUUGGAUAAUGUAAUUAAUUAG